rnacentral:rRNA from 1 species
CCUACGGGACGCUGCAGUGAGGAAUAUUGGUCAAUGGACGGAAGUCUGAACCAGCCAUGCCGCGUGCAGGAAGACGGCUCUAUGAGUUGUAAACUGCUUUUGUACAAGGGUAAACCUGACUACGUGUAUUGAGCUGAAAGUACUGUCCGAAUAAGGAUCGGCUAACUCCGUGCCAGCAGCCGCGGUAAUACGGAGGAUCCAAGCGUUAUCCGGAUUUAUUGGGUUUAAAGGGUGCGUAGGCGGAUUGAUAAGUUAGAGGUGAAAUGUCCGAGCUUAACCCGGGAACUGCCUCUACUACUGUUGGUCUAGAGAGUAGAUGAGGUAGGCGGAAUGUAUGGUGUAGCGGUGAAAUGCUUAGAGAUCA